rnacentral:rRNA from 1 species
GACGAACGCUGGCGGCGUGCUUAACACAUGCAAGUCGAACGAAGUGGCGCACGGGUGAGUAACGCGUACUCAACCUGCCCUUCAGAGGGGGACCACAGUUGGAAACGACUGCUAAUACCGCAUACUGAAGGAGGGGUUUGCGUCUGAUUAGCUAGUUGGAGGGGUAACGGCCCAACAAGGCGAUGAUCAGUAGCCGGUUGGGGAGGGUGAACGGGCCAAAUGGGACUGGGACAAGGGCCCGACUCCCACGGGAGGGAGCAGUGGGGAAACUUCCGAAAUGGAGGAAAGGCUGACGGAGCAAAGCCGCGUGAGUGAUGACGGGCUUCGGGUUGUAAAGCUCUGUUAAUCGGGACGCGGUACCGGAAGAGAAAGCAACGGCUAACUACGUGCCAGCAGCCGCGGUAAUUC